rnacentral:piRNA from 1 species
UAACUUCUAUGUUACUCAUAUCCAG